rnacentral:rRNA from 1 species
AUGCCUGGAGGCAGGACUGCCCACUCGAGGUUCAAGAUCCCAUUGAGCUGCGACGAUGGCGCCUCAUGCACCUUCACGAAGCAGAGUGGUACCGCCAAGCUACUGAGGAUGGCCUCAUUGAUACUAUGGGACGAGGCCACCAUGACUAAGCGACAGGCGGUCGAGGCACUCGACAACAGCAUGCGCGACAUCAUGGGAAGACGGGACCGACCCUUUGGAGGAAAAACUGUUGUGUUUGGCGGGGACUUCAGGCAGGUGCUUCCAAUCGUCAGGAGGGGGUCCCGGGGUCAGAUAAUCGAUGCAAUCCUUCAAAGUUCACAUCUCUGGAAGGGUAUGCGCCAGCUAAGGCUCGUCACCAACAUGAGGGCUCAUAAUGACACCUGUUUUGCGGUUUACUUGCUAAUGGUAGGCAAUGGUACCGAGGAAGUUGACGAUCAAGGAAACAUACAGACUCCCUGA